rnacentral:rRNA from 1 species
CGGCAUGCCUAAGACAUGCAAGUCGAACGNGACGGCCCAAUGAAGACUGAGUGCUUGCUCAAAUUCGGAUUGGUUUACCACUUAGUGGCGCAAGGGUGAGUAACACGUGGUAAUCUACCUUCGAGUCUGGAAUAACAGUUGAAAUCGAUUGCUAAUGCCGGAUGAAAUUGGGAACGAAAUUUCAUUCUUUAUUAAAAGGAGCCUUUUAAAAGCUUCGCUUGAAGAUGAGCCUGCGACGUAUUAGCUAGUUGGUGGGUAAGGGCCUACCAAGGCAACGAUGCGUAGCCGACCUGAGAGGGUGAUCGGCCACACUGGGACUGAGACACGGCCCAGACUCCUACGGGAGACAGCAGUUAGGAAUAUUCGUCAAUGGGGGAAACCCUGAACGAGCAAUGCCGCGUGAAGGAUGACGGUCCUAUGGAUUGUAAACUUCUGUUGUUAGGGAAGAACGACUAGUGUAGGAAAUGACACUAGAGUGACGGUACCUUUCAAGAAAGCUCCGGCUAACUACGUG